UACGGGGGGAGCAAGCGUUGUUCGGAUUUACUGGGCGUAAAGGGCGCGUAGGCGGCCACUGCAAGUCAGUUGUGAAAUCUCCGGGCUUAACCCGGAAAGGUCAACUGAUACUGCAGGGCUAGAGUGCAGAAGGGCAACUGGAAUUCUCGGUGUAGCGGUGAAAUGCGUAGAUAUCGAGAGGAACACCUGCGGCGAAGGCGGCUCACUGGGCUGACCUUGACGCUGAGGCGCGAAGGCGUGGGGAGCGAACGGG
rnacentral:rRNA from 1 species